rnacentral:lncRNA from 1 species
AAGCCUGCUGAAACCACCCUUGGAGGGCUGGCAGAAUAUUCCUGGCAUCAAUUGACGUUUAAAAAAUAGUAAUAACUGCAUCUUAAAAAUCUCUGUGCCAUUCACGUGGUUAUUAUUAUUCCUGUUUUACAGAGAAGGAGACUGAGGCUCAAGACAGCCGAGGGGACUUGCUCAGGGCACCCGGCUAAGACUUGACAAAAUCCAGAAUGUGCUACCGGUCUUCGUGGCUCCUCAGGCCUCCCCUUCACUGUGCUUCACUGUGUAGUCAUCUCGCUUCCUCCAAAUGUGGCCGCACAAUUUGGAGACCACACAAAGAUCAUCAGGGUUCUGCUUGAUAGAAAAUACAGAAUACAGGCCGGGCGCGGUGGCUCACGCCCGUAAUCCCAGCACUUUGGGAGGCCGAGGCGGGCGGAUCACGAGGUCAGGAGAUCGAGACCAUCCUGGCUAACACGGUGAAACCCCGUGUCUACUAAAAAUACAAAAAAUUAGCUGGGCGUGGUGGCGGGCGCCUGUAGUCCCAGCUACUCGGGAGGCUGAGGCAGGAGAAUGGUGUGAACCCAGCAGGCAGAGCUUGCAGUGAGCCGAGAUCACGCCACUGCACUCCAGCCUGGGUGACAGAGCAAGACUCCAUCUCAAAAAAAAAAAAAAAAAAAAAAAAAAAAAAAAGAAAGAAAAGAAAAUACAGAAUACAGAAGAGGUGAUGAAAGGAUAAAGAUGCUGGUAAUCUUAUCAUUGGGUGGAUGCAGUAUUAACCUCCCCUCUGUUCUGCCACUCCACACCCCAUGCUCUGGGCACCCAGGACAUAAUUCCCUGCUAAAAUAUCCCCAAAUCUAUUUCCAGGGCCUACCUAGGCCUCUUUCCACAUCUGAUCUAACAAGAGUAGACCUAGGGCUGAGGGAUGACCAAAGGGCAGCUUUAGGGGUGAGAGUGCGGGCAAGACAAGUUCAGGCUGGGCUGUCCACACAGCUUCCCAGAGGCUGGAUCAGGGGCAGGAAGGGAAGGGGUAGGCAGGGAUCGAGGACCUCCUUUUGCUCUCUUUCCCUGUGUCCCAAACUGGGAGUGACAGGUCUGGGUGGGGGUAUGAUUACUGUCUCUCUAAAACCGACAUACCUCCAAGGAAGAAAUUGUUCAAAAGGGUGGCAAGUGGUAAGCUAAAGCCCCUGAGCCUUCCCCAAGGUAACACCUGUAGAGAGUUUUUUGUGAGUCUGAGCAGGCCCCCAGGGAAGUCCUGGAGGACCGUAGCAUCCCAGUUUGGCCCUCAGCCCACUGUUUGUUUUGCCCAGUUCUCAGUCUCUCAGCUUUGGAAAUGUUAGGAAGAGAAAGGAGAAGCAAGGCGGCCAGAGUGCUGCGGAGCUGGGAGGGGCGUUUGACAGACAGCGCAGGGUGGGGCGUCAGGGAUGCCGUGGACAGAGGAGCUUGGGGAAAAGAGAAGGGGCACUUAAGCGAAGUUUUCAGAAGCCUUGAUGGGCCUUGUGUGGUGCAACACCCUCCUCCAUCUCUAAAGGAAAACAGCAGUAAAAUCUAUGUGAUUGAGACACUGGGUUCUGGCAAUAUGGUGGACCUGAACAUAUAUACUCCUUAUAUGUAUAUUUCAUAAUAAAGAAAAUACUUUUUAAAAUCCACAUGUUUGGCAAUACUAUAGGGUUGAAUUUGUGGUUUGGAAGGAGAUGGGCUCUGGUGGGAUUGACCUCAG